rnacentral:rRNA from 1 species
UACGUAGGGUGCAAGCGUUGUCCGGAAUUAUUGGGCGUAAAGAGCUCGUAGGCGGUCUGUCGCGUCGGCUGUGAAAUCCCGGAGCUCAACUCCGGGUCUGCAGUCGAUACGGGCAAACUGGAGUACUGCAGGGGAGACUGGAAUUCCUGGUGUAGCGGUGAAAUGCGCAGAUAUCAGGAGGAACGCCGGUGGCGAAGGCGGGUCUCUGGGCAGUAACUGACGCUGAGGAGCGAAAGCGUGGGGAGCGAACAGG